GGAAGGCCAGACAUGGGGGUGCCUCAAUUUGUGGAAGAUGUUUGGGACAUUUGUUUGAAGCAGCCCUCUGCUCUCAGUACCUGGCCUAGCAUUUAAGCCACUAGCAGAGUCCAUGUUGGUUACUGGGAGUUGGUUGAGUUAAGGUGGAAAAGGAGGAUGAAAGGGCUUUUGUCAAACAUGGUGUUUGUUUUGUUUUUCUGCUUUAGUGAAUGCCUGGAAGAAAAAUUCUGCUUAUUUAAAGGACCAUAGUGUUGUGCUUUAAAGGUUUCAGAUGACAGACUGCAACUGCAUAGUGUGGUCAUUCUUUUGGCUUAUUGUGCUGGUGUUUCUUGGCUGGCCCAUAAGCAUACUCAUGUGUGCCCUUCAUGGAUUCCUUUCUCCUCUGACUACUUUAAUAGGACUAGAUGAAUUAAGUGAAGCAUUGCUGAAGGGUGCAUGUUUGGGAAGGCAGUGUGCUCAGAAUGUGCGCAAUGGCAAGUCCCUGUGUUAAGCAAUGAGGACAGCCCUGCAUCAGACAAGCACUCAACUGUAUACAAUGGAAUUUCAUUGUUUACUCUAUUCAUCUCAUAUUUUUUAACUCUAAGUAAUUUUUCUUAGUAUUUCAGCAUGUACAUUUCUCUUUAGAGUGUCUAGAAAUCUUAACACUUCAGAGGCUUGUCUCUGAGAAUAUAAAAUACAAGUUGCAGCUAUUGUUUUCAAAAUGAGUAAUGAUGCUGUGUACAUGGAGAAGGUAGCUAAGUGCUUAUCUCAGGAUUUGAGCUUUGUGUCAAAAUCUAUUUAAGUGGUUGAAAAUACUGCCUAAGAGAUGGAAUGCACCAAAUGUGUGCGACUAAGACACAGAAGAAGAAUAGAUGCUGAAUUGGAUUUUUUUUGUGUGUGAAUAUUUUGAUCUCCAGUGUACAUUGCUCAGUAGUAAGAGAAGUAAAAUUCUGAUCUGAU